rnacentral:rRNA from 1 species
GGAUAACCUACCCUUAGGACUGGGAUAACCCUGGGAAACUGGGGAUAAUACUGGAUAGGCAAUUAUUCCUGUAAUGGUUUUUUGUUUAAAUGUUUUUUCGCCUAAGGAUGGGUCUGCGGCCGAUUAGGUAGUUGGUUAGGUAAUGGCUUACCAAGCCUUUGAUCGGUACGGGUUGUGAGAGCAAGAGCCCGGAGAUGGAACCUGAGACAAGGUUCCAGGCCCUACGGGGUGCAGCAGGCGCGAAACCUCCGCAAUGUGAGAAAUCGCGACGGGGGGAUCCCAAGUGCUAUUCUUAACGGGAUGGCUUUUCAUUAGUGUAAAGAGCUUUUGGAAUAAGAGCUGGGCAAGACCGGUGCCAGCCGCCGCGGUAACACCGGCAGCUCUAGUGGUAGCAGUUUUUAUUGGGCCUAAAGCGUCCGUAGCCGGUUUAAUAAGUCUCUGGUGAAAUCCUGCAGCUUAACUGUGGGAAUUGCUGGAGAUACUAUUAGACUUGAGAUCGGGAGAGGUUAGAGGUACUCCCAGGGUAGAGGUGAAAUUCUGUAAUCCUGGGAGGACCGCCUGUUGCGAAGGCGUCUGACUGGAACGAUUCUGACGGUGAGGGACGAAAACUAGGGGCGCGAACCGGAUUAGAUACCCGGGUAGUCCUAGCUGUAAACGAUGCGGACUUGGUGUUGGGGUGGCUUUGAGCUGUCCCAGUGCCGAAGGGAAGCUGUUAAGUCCGCCGCCUGGGAAGUACGGUCGCAAGACUGAAACUUAA